rnacentral:rRNA from 1 species
CUACGGGCCGCAGCAGUGAGGAAUUUUGCGCAAUGGGGGAAACCCUGACGCAGCAACGCCGCGUGAGUGAAGAAGGCCUUUGGGUCGUAAAGCUCUGUCAAUGGGGAAGAAGUUAUUAUGCUUUAAUAGAGUAUAGUAUUGACGGUACCCAUGAAGGAAGCAUCGGCUAACUCCGUGCCAGCAGCCGCGGUAAUACGGGGGAUGCAAGCGUUAUUCGGAAGUAUUGGGCGUAAAGGGCACGCAGGCGGUCCAGUCAGUCAGAUGUGAAAGCCCAGGGCUCAACCCUGGAAGAGCAUUUGAAACAUCUGGACUUGAGUACGGUAGAGGAGAGGGGAAUUCCUGGUGUAGAGGUGAAAUUCGUAGAUAUCAGGAGGAACACCGGUGGCGAAGGCGCCUCUCUGGGCCUGUACUGACGCUGAGGUGCGAAGGCGUGGGUAGCGAACAGGAUUAGAUACCCUAGUAGUC